rnacentral:tRNA from 1 species
GGUUUGUAGCUCAGUGGUUGAGCUCUUGCCUUGCAUGCAUGAGGCACUGGGUUCAAUUCUCAGCACCA